CCUACGGGAGGCAGCAGUGGGGAAUAUUGCGCAAUGGGGGCAACCCUGACGCAGCAACGCCGCGUGAAUGAAGAAGGUCUUCGGAUCGUAAAGUUCUGUCGAAGGGGAAGAAAUAAAUGACGGUACCCUUAGAGGAAGCCCCGGCUAACUACGUGCCAGCAGCCGCGGUAAUACGUAGGGGGCAAGCGUUGUCCGGAUUUACUGGGCGUAAAGGGCGUGUAGGCGGUUUUUUAAGUCAGAUGUGAAAGUUCGGGGCUCAACCCCGGAAUUGCAUUUGAAACUGGAGAACUUGAGUACUGGAGAGGUAAGUGGAAUUCCUAGUGUAGCGGUGAAAUGCGUAGAUAUUAGGAGGAACACCAGUGGCGAAGGCGACUUACUGGACAGAUACUGACGCUGAGGCGCGAAAGCGUGGGGAGCGAACA
rnacentral:rRNA from 1 species